UACGAGGGGGGCGAGCGUUGUUCGGAUUCAUUGGGCGUAAAGGGUGCGUAGGCGGCUUCCUAAGUUUGAUGUGAAAUCCUGGGGCUCAACCCUGGAACUGCAUUGAAUACUGGGAGGCUAGAGUACUGGAGAGGAAACUGGAAUUUACGGUGUAGCAGUGAAAUGCGUAGAGAUCGUAAGGAAGACCAGUGGCGAAGGCGAGUUUCUGGACAGUUACUGACGCUGAGGCACGAAGGCCAGGGGAGCAAACGGG
rnacentral:rRNA from 1 species